CCGCGUGAGUGAUAGAAGGCCGUUCGGGUUGUUAAAGACUCUUUUGGUCGGGGACGGAUGAUGACGGUACCCGCAGAAUAAGCCCCGGCUAACUUCGUGC
rnacentral:rRNA from 1 species